ACGGAGCAACGCCGCGUGAGGGAGGAAGGCCCUUGGGUUGUAAACCUCUUUUGCUGGGGAAGAAGAAAGUGACGGUACCCAGCGAAUCAGCAUCGGCUAACUCCGUGCCAGCAGCCGCGGUAAUACGGAGGAUGCAAGCGUUAUCCGGAAUUAUUGGGCGUAAAGCGUCCGCAGGUGGCUGCUCAAGUCUGCUGUCAAAGCGUGGUGCUCAACACCAUCCCGGCAGUGGAAACUGAGAAGCUAGAGUUCGGUAGGGGUAGCGGGAAUUCCCAGUGUAGCGGUGAAAUGCGUAGAGAUUGGGAAGAACAUCGGUGGCGAAGGCGCGCUACUGGGCCGAAACUGACACUCAGGGACGAAAGCUAGGGGAGCG
rnacentral:rRNA from 1 species